GGGUCGAUGGCGUAGCUGGUUAUCGCAUCUGUCUAACACCUCAUGUGCGCACAGAAGGUCCUCAGUUCGAACCUGGGUCGACUCA